rnacentral:rRNA from 1 species
GACGAACCGUCCAAACGUUACUCGGAAUUACUGGGCUUAAAGGGUGCGUAGGCUGCGCGGAAAGUCGGGUGUGAAAGCCCUCAGCUCAACUGGGGAAUUGCACUCGAAACUACCGUGCUCGAGGGAGACAGAGGUAAGCGGAACUCAAGGUGGAGCGGUGAAAUGCGUUGAUAUCUUGAGGAACACCGGUGGCGAAGGCGGCUUACUGGGUCUCUUCUGACGCUGAGGCACGAAAGCCAAGGUAGCAAACGGG